rnacentral:rRNA from 1 species
CCUACGGGAGGCAGCAGUGGGGAAUUUUGGACAAUGGGCGAAAGCCUGAUCCAGCAAUGCCGCGUGAGUGAAGAAGGCCUUCGGGUUGUAAAGCUCUUUUGUCAGGGAAGAAACGGUGAAAGCUAAUAUCUUUUGCUAAUGACGGUACCUGAAGAAUAAGCACCGGCUAACUACGUGCCAGCAGCCGCGGUAAUACGUAGGGUGCAAGCGUUAAUCGGAAUUACUGGGCGUAAAGCGUGCGCAGGCGGUUUUGUAAGUCUGAUGUGAAAUCCCCGGGCUCAACCUGGGAAUUGCAUUGGAGACUGCAAGGCUAGAAUCUGGCAGAGGGGGGUAGAAUUCCACGUGUAGCAGUGAAAUGCGUAGAUAUGUGGAGGAACACCGAUGGCGAAGGCAGCCCCCUGGGUCAAGAUUGACGCUCAUGCACGAAAGCGUGGGGAGCAAACAGGAUUAGAUACCCUGGUAGUCCACGCCCUAAACGAUGUCUACUAGUUGUCGGGUCUUAAUUGACUUGGUAACGCAGCUAACGCGUGAAGUAGACCGCCUGGGGAGUACGGUCGCAAGNUUAAAACUCAAAGNUAGCGCGUGAGAGAGCGACGACGACGACGAGGAGGAGGAG